rnacentral:pre_miRNA from 1 species
UCUUACGUAUGAACAAAGAAAGUGGUUUCUUGAGAUGGAAUCAAUUCCUGGUGAAGAUGCUGUGAA